UCGUAUCUGAUCUUAGUUUCCUGCCUAAUAACUCAGUUUUUUAGUUACUGUAUAGUUAUUUGUGGGUGAUUUUGGCUGUGGGUUUCUGAUUUUGUGUGUGUUUUAAGUGAAUCUGAUAAUUGGGUUUUCGACUUUGUGCGUAUUUAGGUGAACUUGAUCAUGGAUUUUGGAAUUUGUGUAUAAAUAAGUGGAUCUGAUAUGGGAUUAAUGAUAUUGUGUAUAUUAUGCUGGGAUGUUAAUGAUUGUGUGCAUAUUUAGGUGAAUCUGAUAUGGAGAUUUUGGUUUUUAGGGGUUUAGGAGCUGGUGGAUUUGUAGAAUAAGCUGAUAUCUCGACCCGUAUCGUCAAAUUUGUUUAAACGAAGAGCUGCCGAGCUAUAUGAGUUACAGGACUUGUGGAGGAUCCUGUCCGAGGUGCUUAAGGAAUGGGAUGUUAGCUCAAAGUGGAGUGAAUUUAAGUUAGUAGAAUGUGUAAACUGAAUAGCUGUGUUGCUGCAUCUUCGUAUGAUUAGAAAGAAGCUGCGAAAUGCACACUGGAUUUUGAGUGGUAGAUCUAAGGGAGGGUUGUUCUGAUUGUAAACAUCUAAUUGGUUAUUCAUGUGUUGCAUAAUCUAUCUGGUGUGAUUAGAGUUUAUGUGAUUGCAUUUUCUUUAGGGUUUUUCAGUAAUGACUCUUGAUUAAUGACUUUUGUAUGUCUCAAUAAUGACUCUUGAUUAACCUUAUUAGAUUGUAUCAACUGUUGCUGCUUGCAAUCGGAUUUGGUCAUAUUGGUGAA